UAGGGAAUCUUCGGCAAUGGACGAAAGUCUGACCGAGCAACGCCGCGUGAGUGAAGAAGGUUUUCGGAUCGUAAAACUCUGUUGUUAGAGAAGAACAAGGACGUUGGUAACUGAACGUCCCCUGACGGUAUCUAACCAGAAAGCCACGGCUAACUACGUGCCAGCAGCCGCGGAAUACGUAGGUGGCAAGCGUUGUCCGGAUUUAUUGGGCGUAAAGCGAGCGCAGGCGGUUUCUUAAGUCUGAUGUGAAAGCCCCCGGCUCAACCGGGGAGGGUCAUUGGAAACUGGGAGACUUGAGUGCAGAAGAGGAGAGUGGAAUUCCAUGUGUAGCGGUGAAAUGCGUAGAUAUAUGGAGGAACACCAGUGGCGAAGGCGGCUCUCUGGUCUGUAACUGACGCUGAGGCUCGAAAGCGUGGGGAGCAAACAGG
rnacentral:rRNA from 1 species